GGGGGUGAAAUAGGUUCGACGGGGCAAUGCCUUAAAGAUGGCGGCGCGCCGACCUUCCACACGGUCGUAAAACAGGUGGAAGACCACAAAUGCCAACGAAUCGCUGGCACUGGCUGCCUGAUGAGCAAGCCACGUCCACCGGCUGACGCCUUCUAGGCCGGACUGGGCGCCAAAGAGAGGGCUGGUCCCCACCGAUCUCCUCCUAAGAUGGGGACGAGAACGAAGGAGGAUAGUCCACACAGACCCUGCCCCUUGGGGGAUGGGUGGACAAAAUAAAAUGCAGGGGGCUACGCGCGUAGAUGCCGUCUAUAGAAGGAUGCCUCGGACCCGGGGGCGGUACCCGGCACCUCCACAC
rnacentral:tmRNA from 1 species